GUGCCAGCAGCCGCGGUAAAACGUAGGGGGCGAGCGUUAUCCGGAUUUACUGGGCGUAAAGCGCGUGCAGGCGGCUUGGUAGGUUGGACGUGAAAGCUCCUGGCUCAACUGGGAGAGGCCGUUCAAUACCGCCAGGCUCGAGGGCGGAAGAGGGAAGCGGAAUUCCCGGUGUAGUGGUGGAAUGCGUAGAUAUCGGGAGGAACACCUGUGGCGAAGGCGGCUUCCUGGUCCGUACCUAACGCUAAGACGCGAAAGCGUGGGGAGCGAACGGGAUUAGAAACCCUGGUAGUCC
rnacentral:rRNA from 1 species